CCUACGGGAGGCAGCAGUGGGGAAUAUUGCACAAUGGGCGCAAGCCUGAUGCAGCAACGCCGCGUGAGGGACGACGGCCUUCGGGUUGUAAACCUCUUUUAGUAGGGAAGAAGCGAAAGUGACGGUACCUGCAGAAAAAGCACCGGCUAACUACGUGCCAGCAGCCGCGGUAAUACGUAGGGUGCAAGCGUUAUCCGGAAUUAUUGGGCGUAAAGAGCUCGUAGGCGGUUUGUCACGUCUGCUGUGAAAACUGGAGGCUCAACCUCCAGCCUGCAGUGGGUACGGGCAGACUAGAGUGCGGUAGGGGAGAUUGGAAUUCCUGGUGUAGCGGUGGAAUGCGCAGAUAUCAGGAGGAACACCGAUGGCGAAGGCAGAUCUCUGGGCCGUAACUGACGCUGAGGAGCGAAAGCAUGGGGAGCGAACAGGAUUAGAUACCCUGGUAGUCCGUGCCGUAAACGUUGGGAACUAGAUGUAGGGACCAUUCCACGGUUUCUGUGUCGCNGCUACGACAUAACGUUACCCGUCCGUCGGGUAGGUACGGCCGCGACGGACGUAAACCUACAAACUAGAAGUUAGACGGCGUGAGACGUGCCGAACGGACGACGACGAGGGAGGUAGG
rnacentral:rRNA from 1 species